rnacentral:rRNA from 1 species
AGAGUUUGAUCCUGGCUCAGAACGAACGCUGGCGGCAGGCCUAACACAUGCAAGUCGAACGCCCCGCAAGGGGAGUGGCAGACGGGUGAGUAACGCGUGGGAACAUGCCCUUUGGUUCGGAAUAACUCAGGGAAACUUGAGCUAAUACCGGAUAAGUCCGAGAGGAGAAAGAUUUAUCGCCGAAGGAUUGGCCCGCGUCUGAUUAGCUAGUUGGUGUGGUAAUGGCGCACCAAGGCGACGAUCAGUAGCUGGUCUGAGAGGAUGAUCAGCCACAUUGGGACUGAGACACGGCCCAAACUCCUACGGGAGGCAGCAGUGGGGAAUAUUGGACAAUGGGCGCAAGCCUGAUCCAGCCAUGCCGCGUGAGUGAUGAAGGCCUUAGGGUUGUAAAGCUCUUUUACCUGGGAAGAUAAUGACGGUACCAGGGGAAUAAGCCCCGGCUAACUUCGUGCCAGCAGCCGCGGUAAUACGAAGGGGGCUAGCGUUGUUCGGAAUCACUGGGCGUAAAGCGCACGUAGGCGGAUCUUUAAGUCAGGGGUGAAAUCCCGAGGCUCAACCUCGGAACUGCCUUUGAUACUGGGGAUC